CUUGACCGUACCGAGCCACAGCGCCCGGUCCGCCGGCCGCCCCUGCCCGUAGGUGGCGAGCAGGGCCUGGGCCUC
rnacentral:antisense_RNA from 1 species